UACGUAGGCAGCAAGCGUUGUUCGGAGUUACUGGGCGUAAAGGGUGCGUAGGCGGCUUUUUAAAGUUUGGUGUGAAAUCUCCCGGCUCAACUGGGAGGGUGCGCCGAAUACUGAGAGGCUAGAGUGUGGGGAGAGGAAAGUGGAAUUCCUGGUGUAGCGGUGAAAUGCGCAGAUAUCAGGAGGAACACCGGUGGCGAAGGCGGGUCUCUGGGCCGAUACUGACGCUGAGGAGCGAAAGCGUGGGGGAGCGAACAGG
rnacentral:rRNA from 1 species